CGUUGAUACCAACUUUAAAGGGGAUUGGUGUUGGUUUGUUCAUGAUUAUUUUUUCACUCUGCUUUCAUCAAGCUGAAUAAAUCAGAGACUUAUUACUAAUUACUGAAUAAAUCAGGUCUGAGUAUUAGCCUGCCACGGCAGGUGUAAAUUGGUUUUGUGACAAAAAAAAAUUACUCUUUAACAAUGGCACAAUUAUGACCGAAGGGAACGGUUUGAAGGGAAAUAAAAGACUCAAUGAAACCUCCUCAUAAUCAGGAGGGAAAAUUCUGGCUGAAAACAAUUCAGGACAACAGGAUGCGGACAAGACCAAACAAACAGAGACAGUUACCUUUUACUAGCUCUUCUCCUUUGUUGAUUCCACUGAUUUAGUUUUGAUGAUCGUUGAAACUAUUGCAACUAUCGGCAAUGGGGAUUGUCCCUGCCCAUUAUGACAAGUCUUUUUGGAUAAUGGACCGACUCCUUCAGACAAAAUCAAAAUAACAAAGAUGUGCUUGGGGUAGUCUCCAGGGUUAUGCUUUGAACAUUUUUUAAAUAUUCUAAGUCCUUAUUUUAUCUAUUGUUGAUUGAGUAGUUCCCUCCUGAAAAUGAGAUCUUCUAAUUAUCUGUGUAAUUUCAUAUAGGUUUCAUUGAGAUUUGUCUACUUAGCUUUGGGAUGGUGGCCAGCUGCAUUUUUUUAGGUCCCUUGUUGGAUGAUCUCUUGUGAAAGACAACCUUCUCGAAUAAGGAGUCUCUAUCUGAAAACUAUUUUGCGGCAAGAUUUAGCUUUCUGUGAUAAGGAAACCAAUAUGGGAGAGGUGGUGGGGCGGAUGUCUGGUGAUGCUCUUCUUAUACAAGACGCCAUGGGUAGGGAAAUUUGUAUAGCUGACAUCAACAUUCCUUGCGGGCUUUGUCAUUGCAUUUACCAAAGGCUGGCUUCUCACACUUGUUAUGUUAUCCAUCAUUCCUCUACUUGUCAUCUUUGGUGGAGUGAUGUCCUUCAUCCUAUCUAGGAUGGUGUCCCGUGGACAAGAUGCUUAUGCCAAGGCAGCAACGGUGGUUGAACAGACAAUUGGCUCCUUUAAAAUGGCAUGUCAUAAGUUUAAAUUAUUGUGAUGCCCAUGCUCUGAUGAAAUUUAUAUUGGGGCUGCAUCUUUUACAGGGGAGAAGCAAGUUGUGGCCAGCUAUAACGAGUCCCUAAUUAAAGAUUACCAUUCAGGUUCAAAUGAAGGGCUGGCAAGUAGAUUAGGUCUUGGGUCGCAUUUUGCUACAUAAACAUUUUGCUAUUAUGUACUCCAGCUAUGCUUUGGCAAUCUGGUACGGUGCAAGGUUCAUCUUGGAAAAAGGAUAUAUUGGUGGUCAAGUUCUCAAUGUUUCCGACGCGAAGCUUCUCCAUUAAGUAGCAAGCGAUUUACUUUUUAAGGGAGAAUUUUCUGCAAAAAGGUGUGAUGCUGGUGGUGAAUUGGCGAUGCAUGAGAGGAAUACUACUUGGUUGGAUGAAUAGGAAAGUUCUCGAUCUAUCCUUCAGGUUGAAGCCAAAGGAACUUUCUGUUUAGACGGCUUUUGCUGCAGGAUGUAGAACUCCCAAAAAUCGGAAAAGUGUAAAAGCAAUGGGGGCAGUUAGGCUUGUUUUCAAUUUGAAGCUGAAGUGCCAGAAAGCAAUACUACAAGAAAGGCUCUAUGCCUAUUCCUAACUUCUGAUGUAGGACAUCACAACUGAUAUCUUCUUCUCAGUUGGGAAAAACUUGGUCCAUAUAGUUGUGCUUCUUAUGCAACUAAUGUUCUAAAUGAAACUUACAAGAUGACUGAUUUAUUACUCCAAAAUAGUGUUUUUAGUUUACUCUUCUAAAUUUUCCAUUCUUUUAAAGUGCAUUUCCGUUCUCCGGGUUAUGUACUGAAGGAUCUGAGAAAAAUUAGAGAACUGGGUGCUAUGGGUGCUUCGUUCGAUCAUGGGGAGGAUGGCAAUCUGCAUCUAGCCAGGGAAGGGGGCCACUCCCAUCACCGAAUUGUGUAUGCUGCUGAUAUGAUAGGCAGAAAGAUAGAAAGGACCCUAUUAGAGGCAGAUGUUAAGGAUCCUAAUAGAUAUGUGUUUGAACACCAUUUUGCUAUAGAUUUGUUGACCACUCAGGUGCAUUGAUCAUGAUUCUGAAGAUGUACCAAUGGAAUUUAACAAAGUUGCAACUUGACUACAUUUGAUCUUUAUGUUGUGAAUAGUGUACAGAGAUUUGCAUAUGCUACUGUUUGUGAUAAUUGACUUCAUGUAGAUACCUAUAAAAUAUUAGAUCUUACACCUGUAGAAGUGCUCCCUGAAGCUCUAUUAAUUGGCGCUAUUACUUUCAAUUAAUAUGUCUUAAAAAUAAGUACUCAUCACAAUGGGCAUUC